rnacentral:lncRNA from 1 species
CGCCCGCGUGCCCGCAGGUGGCCCUGCUGCUGCUGGUGGCCGUGGUGCCGGCGCUGCGGAUCGUGCGGGCGGGGCUGGGCGCGGACGUGGUGCUGCUGCUGGUGCAGCUGGGGCUGGUGCCCUCGCGGGGCACGGCCGCGCCCGGGCACCUGGAGCAGGAGCUGCGCACCGCCCGCCACUUCCUCUGGGCGCUGGAGGUGUGCUACAUCUUCUCGCUGGCGCUGUGCUGCCUGCUCACCUGCGCCAUGCUGCUCCGGAGCCUGGCCAUGCACAGGUCCAACCUGCGGGCGCUCUACCAGGGCGCCGUGCUGGACGUCUUUUCCAAGGCCCACAUCCUGCGGCCUUCCCGGGAAUCCCUUGUCAGCUGGAUGGCCUUCUCCAGCUUCCAGGCGGCCU